UCAUUUCAUCUCAUCUCAUCAGUCUCUUUCUCACUCUCAUUUUCAUCUGCAUAGAUCGACUCCACACCGAUCAAACUCGCAAGAUCGACUCCUCACCGAUCGACCUCACUCUCUCAUUGCACCGAUCGAUCUCAUAGAUCGACCUCGCAAGAUCAACUCCUCACCGAUCAACCUCGCAAGAUCGACUCCUCACCGAUCGACUUCACGGAUAAGCCUCUCUCUCUCUCUCUCUCUCUCACAUCUCAACAUAGUUAAUUUAGAUUUUUGAUCUGUUACAUAUAUAUAUAUAUAUAUAUAUAUAUGAUCUGGUUUUUGAUCUCUUAUGCCUCCUCUUCCUGCGAUGUCUCUAGGGUUUUAAGUACGGUCUGAGCAGUUAAUUUAGAUUUUGCGGAUUGAAGCCCAUGAGAAUAUUGAUUUGAGCUGAAUUUGUUAUAAAAAUUUAGGCUUUUAUGUGUUUGAAUAACAUUUUGAUUUCCUUUAGAAUGCACAUGUUGCAAAGAGUAUUAUGUAUAUAGACACAAGUGGUCAGUGAUAUGUAGAUUGUAAAUGACCAAGUUUGACAAAAUAUCCAAUUAAUUUUGCAAUUUUCUUGUUUACUGGUUGCCCUUGUGGUUGUUGCUCGAAUUGUUAUAUGCUUAAGAUGAUGAGUGUGACUAAAGCCAAAUAGGUAGUAAUUACUACACUUUUUUUUUGGUUUUUGAUAUAUGAAAUUACAGAUUGCGAGAAUAGAGUAUGUGCAUUCUAAAGGAUUUUUGCAUCGAGACAUCAAACCGGAUAACUUCCUCAUGGGUCUUGGCAGAAAAGCAAAUCAGAGAUGUAGUAUCUGAAUCUUAUUACCCAAGUAAUAUUGUCAGUAUCAUCACUGUCAGUGUCAAUAUUGUCUACAAGGAUGCCCUUUAACUUGUCUAUAUACUGAGAGAACAAAAAUUUAACAGGGAUGAUUUGGAGUCUCUUGGCUAUGUUCUUUUGUACUUUUUGAGCGGAAGGUUUUAUGCAAGUCGCAUCCAGUGGAAUUUGCAUCUUACUUCCAUUAUUGCCACUCUUUAACAUUUGAUCAACGACCGGAUUAUGGGUAUUUCAUGGCUGGACGCGCUAAUGGAAGACCUAUAUACAAAUGGUGAAGUCUCUAAUAUCACUACACCUAUAUUUCCCAUGUAGGAGUGUGCUUCUUGUGGAAUGCAUGCCUGUGGAGAAUGUGGCUA